rnacentral:rRNA from 1 species
ACCAAGAAAAGUUCCAAAAAGGAGAGUUCUUGGGGACUCGCGUUGAAUUUGAUAGAUGGUUUGGAGAAAGUUUAAUUUAGUUAGCAAACCAUGUCUUAUUCAUAGUCUAUCUUAAUGGUGUUAGACCACAAUGGCACUGAAAAAAGGGCCAUACAGGAUUAUCUUGGCAGCAGUAGUGAAUUUUGGACAAUGUAAAGAAAUUGUGAUCUAGACCUAAAAGUUAAUAGAAAGCUCCGGCCAACUCUGUGCCAGCAGCCGCGGGAACACAGAUGGAGCAAGUUUACUGCUAUUUAAUUAGGUAUACAGCGUGUGCAAACGUCAAUUAUUAUAUAAUAUUUUAUAAGAUUUUAAAAGUUUUAUAUAUUUGUAUUUAAAGUAAAGGAAUUUUCCAAGUAUUAGU